UACGUAGGGUGCAAGCGUUAAUCGGAAUUACUGGGCGUAAAGCGUGCGUAGGCGGCUUUUUAAGUCAGGGGUGAAAUCCCGGGGCUCAACCCCGGAACUGCCCUUGAAACUGGAAAGCUAGAAUCUUGGAGAGGCGAGUGGAAUUCCGAGUGUAGAGGUGAAAUUCGUAGAUAUUCGGAAGAACACCAGUGGCGAAGGCGACUCGCUGGACAAGUAUUGACGCUGAGGUGCGAAAGCGUGGGGAGCAAACAGG
rnacentral:rRNA from 1 species